rnacentral:lncRNA from 1 species
ACUGAAACAAGUAAAAGAGAGAGAGAGAGAGAGAGAGUAAAAUAUUGAUUUCAUAGUUAAACAGACACACACUCCAGAAAACAGACACACACUCACUAAAAUUCCACUAUGGCUGGAAGUCAUGUUUAGAUAGAGUUCUGCUUAAUCAAGGUUGACCUAAAGCUUAACAACAACAGCAACAGCAAAUUACACCAAAUUGCAAUGAAGCCAUAAUUUCUUUUAUAUUUAUCCAAUGCAAAUGAGAAUCAGCAGGAAGCUGUUGUCCAAAGGUUUCAAUGGCAUUUACAGGCACCUCAAGGUUUACAUUCCAGAAGCAGUGCUUAGGAAAGCAAUCAUGGUUAUUUGAGUAAUUAUAUCUUUUAUAUAUUGUCUGUCAGCCUUUACUGUUUCUGUAGUCUUUCGCAGAUAUUUUUGCAUAAAGGUCAAUCUAUGAAAAUUGGCAUAAAAAAAAAACAAAAAAAAACAAUUGUUCUUCCCCAAAUAAAAAAUGGAGAAGAGAGUUUCUAAGUGGUCAUUUGACCAGAUAGAGAUAGUAACCAAAUCUUCAAAUCAUUCUCUAUCUUCUUCACUUUUUUGAUGUCAACCCUGCCAGAAAUUGCCCCUUAAUCCUGCCUAAAACUGCCCCUCAACCCUUGCCUGAAACUGUCCCUUAACCAUACCUGAAACUAUCCCUGGUUCCAUAAUGCAUAACUAAGUUAUUUUAUUAAAUUCUUCAUUAUAUUUAAAGUAAUUGAAAGAAACACAGAGCAUCUCAAAAUAAAUACAGUAAUGAAAGGGUUAUCUAAACAAAAUUCUCUCAUAAAAAUUUCAUGUCAUUUUGAACACCAACUUAAUAAUGACAAAAUUAUCUUCAUAAAUUCUUCAUUACUUUUAAAACUAAUUGAAAUAAGCACAGUGUAUUUCAUUAGAAAUAUAGCAUCAAAGGAUUGAAGAAGAAGAAAAGGAUGACUUGCACCAUGUAUUGUGCAAUAUAUACACAUAUAUCAGUGCAGGUGCAACUUAAAAGCACCUGGUCCACACUGUGAAGUAGUUGGAGUUUGGAAGGGCAUCCAGCUGUAAAAACCUCGCCAAGACUGACCGCAGCUGUGCUUGUGCCAUGUAAAAAGCACUACUUACCUCGCCUGUGCUUGUGCCACGAAAAAUACACCAAGUCACUCUUCUGAGUGGUUGGUGUUAGGAAGGGCAUCCAGCAGUAAAAAUCCUGCCAAAACAGUCACAGAAGUCUGGUGCAGGCUCUUGUGAAACCCUCUCACCCAUGCUAGCAUGGAAAGCUGACAUUAGAUGAUAUAUAUAUGUGUGUUUGUAUGUAUAUCCUUUGUUUUCUUCUCACUUACUUGUGUCUCUCCUUACUAACCGUCAGCCAUUUUGUAUUUCUAUUGUAUGUCUUCAUUUGCGCAUGCUUAUAUCUCUCUCUCUCUAUAUAUAUAUAUAUAUAUAUGCGUGUGUGUAUAUAUAUAUGUGUGUGCAUAUAUAUAUAUAUAAAUUUUUUACUUCUUUCAGUCAUUUGACUGUGGCCAUGCUGGAGCACUGCAUUUAGUUGAGCAAAUCAACCCCAGGGCUUAUUCUUAGUAAGCCUAGUACUUAUUCUAUCAGUCUCUUUUUGACGAACCGCUAAGUUACGGGGACAUAAACACACCAGCAUCAGUUGUCAAGUGAUGCUGAGGGGACAAACACAGACGCAAACAUAUAAAUGUAUAUAAUAUACAUAUAUAUAUUUAUAUAUGUCCACUCCACAUACGCACAUCAGCAACAUUCAAAAUAUUGAAUACAAGGUAAGUCUACGUUAAUUCCUAUAUUUCUUAUGAUUUGCCUUGCAUUUACUUUGCACUGCUCUGGCAUUAGGCAUUACCCACGAUCCUGUAUACAAUAUAUAUAUAUAUAUAUUAUAUCGACCCCAGUGCAUAACUGGUACUUAUUUAAUCGACCCCAAAAGUAUGAAAGGCAAAGUCAACCUCGGCAGAAUUUGAACUCAGAACGUAGUGGCAGCCAAAAUACCGCUAAGCAUUUUGCCUAGUAUCAGCCACAUUUGGAUGGUGCUUUUUACGUACCACCGGCAUGGGUAUCACAACUACAAUUUCCAUUGAUGAUGUUGAUGUACUUGACUCAAUAUGUCGUCCUAUGAUCCAAGGUACUUUUGAAUGGGCUGGGGUUGGUUAUGCAAAACUGGUGUAGGAUACAGCCAUGAACUCACUUUAUUUGUCGGGUUUUCGCAGUCACAGCAUAUCUCCAGAGGUCUCGGUAUUUUGUCAUUGCCUCUGUGAAAAAACCGAGACCUCUGGAGAUAUGCUGUGACUGUGAAGCAGCAAAUAAUUUGAAAUACAUCUUGGAUAAAAAAAAUUCACUGCGGAGAAACUUUUUAAACAUCCUACAUUACAAGGCAAGAAAGCAACCCGCAACAGAACAGGUCAUAAGCAAAUAAUAUCUUGGGAGUUAAAAAGACAAAAAUGUAUUAAAAAAUUUUUUUAAUGAUUUAAUUCAAGUCGCUGUCAUUUAUACAUACAGGCUUGUCCUUUACAGGUACCAGUGCCACGUAAGAUGUACUCGUGCCGGUGCUGCGUAAAUGCACCCAUACCAGUGACACGUAAAUGGCACCCAGCAUACACUGUAAAGUUGUUGGCAUUAGGAAGAGCAUCCAGUCAUAGAAACCAUGUCACAACAGACAAUUGGAAUAUGGACAGCUCCUUAGCUGGCCAUCCCCUUUCAAACCAUCCAACUCAUACCAGUAUGGAAAAUGGAUGUUAAAUGAUGAUGAAUUUGAUUUUAAUUAAGUCAUUUGAAAAACUUCAAAUUUAUUUAUUUAUUUACUAGUUUAAAAGCUGCCCUAUUGAGCAGCUUUUAAGCUACUGACCCCGAAUGGGAAGAUCUGCAAACAGAUCUCUGACUUGUUUUGAAGAAUUUGUUGCAAUUGUUUCCUCCCAAAGACAAUCAUAUUCGCCACAAAAAAAUUAAGUAAAAAAAAAAAAAUUCCCCAAAAAUAAUCGCUGGGUUUCACAAUUAAUAUCAAUUAUUCUCCAGAUUUAUUUCCAAGUUAUAAAAAUUGUUAUCGUACAAAAAAAAUUUGUUGCAAAAAUAAUCAUGUAAAAAAAUUGCCAAAAACAAUCGCAGUAAUGAAAACUUGGGAAUCCAGAAUUUCAGGAUUGCGGGUCUGGAUUUGGCCUGGAAUGUUUUUAAUUUACUCAUGGAGUCGGCCUGAUUUCAAAAUGGUAUGAUAUGUUGGGUGAUGGCCUCUAGGAGUAAAAUUGAAAAAGUGUAACACACUGACAUUUGCAUUUAAUAACACCUGCUUUUCCAUGCUUGCAUGCAUCAAACACAAUUUGUUAAGGCAGAUAUUUUAUGAUUAUAUAUGCCCUUGUUGCCAACUAACAUCUGUGUCCGAGUAAUGUAAAUAUUUACCCAUGACUGGAUAUGUUUCCAUGGAAGACUGGAAACAACACUGCUUAUAUGAUAGUGGCACUCAACUGAAACUAUCAUGUGACCAGUAAACGCAAACACAUGGAUAUGAGUGUGUGUGUCUAUGUAUACAUGUUUAUUUAUAUAUAUAUAUGUAUGUAUGUAUAUAUAUAUAUAUAUGCAUGUGUGUAUAUAUAUAUGUAUGUAUAUAUAUAUAUGUAUGUAUAUAUAUAUAUAUAUACACAUAUAUAUAUGUGUAUAUAUAUAUAUGGGCUAAUGUGGCUAUUUCUCUGUAGAAUGAAAAAAAUUGAGGAACAGCCUUAAUCAAUUUUCUAACCUUAUUGAGCUCUUAUCAGUGGUGUUUGUAUCAAUUUAACUAAUCCCAGAGAAGCAAGUAGCCAAUUUGUUUAUUUACUCAACAAAUGAAGUAGCCACAGAGAACUAGGGCCACUAGUGUGCAUACAGUGUUAACAUUUUAUUUUUAAUAUCAAGGCCCAAUGCCACAAGCUUCUUUCAGUUUCCAUCCACCAAAUCCACUUACAUGGUUGGUCCUGGACUAUAAAAGAAACUCCUGUGUAUGUCACAGGAGUGGACUCUAAACCAUGUGAAUAUUACUAAAUAUAUGAAAGAGUAUUAUCAUUGUCUUGUUAUAUUCUUCCAUUUCUUUAAAAAUAAUUUAUACAUAUUGUUUCUUUGUAUAAGCAAUAUAAAAUGCUUGUCCAUCACAUAUAUGUAUAUAUUUAUGUAUGUGUCUUUGUUUAUGUAUUUGUCUCCACCACCAUCGCUUGACAAUUGGUGUUGGUGUGUUUACAUUCCUGUAACUUAGUGAUUCAGCAAAAGAAACUGAUAGACUAAGUACUAGGCUUACAAAGAGUAAAUCCUGAGGUUGAUUUCAACUGAAAAAAAACCCUUUAAGGUAGUGCUCCAAUAUGGCCGCAGUCAAAUGAUUAUUUUUAUAUGUAAAGCAUAAUAUGUUAUACAUGUAUAUAUAUUUUUGUAAUUGUCAUUUUAGUAAAUAAAUAAGUUGACAUAUGUCUAAAAGUUGAUGAACCACCUAUUGAUCCCCUCCAUUUUCUUAUUGCUCUGUGUGUGUAUGUAUAUAUAUAUAUAUAUAUAUAUAUAUAUAUACAUACAUACACACACAUAUUCAUUUGAUAGUUUUAUAUUCAUUUUUCCAUGCUAGCAUCUAUUAGGGGAAUAUGUAUUUGUGAGACAUUGUUUUUGCAACUGGGUGAUCUACCUGUCAGUAUCUCUUACCUGUUUCCCAAAUAAGGGAGUUUUCAUUCCAUUCGUCUUUGAAAGUACAGAGCUACUGAAAGAUUUUUUCCACAAGUUAGUGUCAGCAAAAGGCACCGGCCAUAGCUCAGCGAUAUUUUUUGAGGAAAAUAUAAUGUAAACAUUUAUAAGACACACUAAUGCAUACUCACACAUGUACACAUAUAUCUGUGCCGGCAUCGUGUAAAGAACACCCAUGCCAGUGCCAUACAGAAGACACACAGUGUACAUUCUGUAAAGUGGUCGGCAUUAGGAAGGGCAUCCAGUCAUAGAAACCAUGGCAAAACAGGUGACUGGGGCCUGUUGCAGCUUCCUAGGUCCUGUCAAACCAUCCAACCCAUGCCAGCUGGGAAAACGGACGUUAAAUGAUGAUAUGGAUCUAUUACAUCUUGGGGUCUCGUUAUUGUAAGUUGUCCUUCAUUCUCAUUUGGCUGGACUUGUUAAAGGGCCCAUGGUUUAUGAUGGGUUUUGUUGCAUGUAUUAUUACAUAUAUUGAUACUGUAUGACUGUCUUUAUUGGUAUUUUUAUUAUGCUGGGAAAAUAUUUAAGAGAUUUUUGAGUUUUGGGAGGUUCUGUGGCAUGCAUACAUGUAUGCAUAUGCAUAUCUCAGUAAAUACAUAUAAAGCAGACACAGAAAUCUGGUGCAGGCUUCCACCUGGCCAGCUCCUGUCAAACUAUCCAACCCAUGCCAGCAUGGAAAGAGGAUGUUAAACGACGACGACGACGAUGAUCUACAUAUAUGUAUGAGUGAAUAUGACAGACUUUGUAUAACUUCUGUUGAGCGAAUUCACCAAAUUCACUCAUAAGGAAUGGGUUGGCUGGGGCUAUAGUAGAAGACAAUUUGCCCUAUAUUAUGCAAUUAGUAAAUCUGCUAAAAAUAGCAGUCAAAUUCCUUUCAAAUUAUAUAACUGAUCUGCCUUACAAAAAAAUAAAAAUAAAAAGGCAGGCAAUGGGCACAUAGGAUAAUGUAGACCUGGAUAAUGUAUGACAAAAAUAGAGAACAGGGUGGUGAGCAUCUGAACUCGUUUUACCUGAAGUUAAUUGGAGAAAAAUUCAUUUGGAACAAGAACAACAAUAAGAACAUAUUAUUACUAUUACGGCAGUUGAACAAAAAUAACUCAGAGGCCCAAUCAUUAAAAUAUGAAAGAAUAUAAAUAGAAGCACAUGUACUAGAAUAAAAAUAAAGACAUUAUAUGGACAAUUUUAAUACAUCAAAUUUAACCAUGGAAUGAACUGUAUUUUGGACAAUUGACAAUGGAAAAUGAAAAAAAGGGGUCAUUGAAAAGAUAGUUUUCUUUUUCUUCUUUAUUCUUCUUUCAUUUUUUUUUAUAUAAAUUCAAUUUUAAAAAUGAACUGAUUUGAAUUGAUUUUAAAUUAGAAAAAUAAUUUUAAGCAAAGCACAAUAGAUGAAUAAAACUCUUGAUUUUUUUGCACCCUUACCUCCCAUGCCCCAUCUCACUCCAGAGAUUAGGUUAAGGGCCAUAUGGUUUUGAUUUGUGGAUAGGACGGGGCAGUGAAUGAGUGUGUGUGUACAUAUGUGUGUGUGAGGGGCGGUAACGUUUAAUGAAAUGUUAUGGUUAGCAUAACAUCUCAAAUUAAGCUAACGAAUGAGUAACACUAGAAUUUAGUAACCAUGUCCUUCCUUUGAUGUACUAAACAGUAUAGCACAGUAAAUAGGGUUUUGUUUUUUUUAGAACAACAUCAGCAACUGCAUUGUCACACUUGGCACUUACUCUCUGCUGAUAUACAAGCCUUUUUUGCCAGUACCAGCAUUUAUGAGCAAGGGAGCAAAGUUUAAUGACAAUUUUAGAAGAGAAAUGCUUUUUAAUUGUUCUUUAAUUCACAACCUUAUUCUGCUACCCACCCUCAUGAUUGACAGAAUAUUGUCUCGCCCACUUUACAUUUCUAAAAAGUUGGUAAUUCUGAUUAGAAAUUUCACUUUUUGAUGAUCUGUGGUUUACUCAACAGGACACUGCUCGCUUCCGUAUUUUGUAAACCUGAUGAGUUGAGAACUGCAUAACGUAUUACAUAAUUUUAUGGAUGUUGUGCAUACUGCAUACGUAACUGUGCCAUGUUCACAUCACAAUAAAAACUUUUGUGGCAGUACCAGAAACCUCAAUCAUCUGUAUUUAUGUGCACACACACACACACACACAUAGGUGAUCCAGCAUGGCCACAGCCUCUGGUUUGAAACCAGCAAAAGAACAUAUAUAACAGUUUGUGAAGACAUUUUUCGGCUUUAAUAAAUAGCAUGAGUAUGUGUGUGUGUAUGUGUGUGUGUAUGCAUGAAGUUCUAGUGAUAGUGGAAUAAAUUUAGACAUCUUUACCUUCUCAUCCUACACAUUUAUACACACACUUCAUCUGAAAUUAGUUUGGCGCCUGAGAUAGGUAGUGUGUGUGUAGGGAGGAUAAUCAAUAUUAAUUUCUUUGAAGGCACAAGGCCUGGAAUUUUAAAGGAGGGGACUAGUUGAUUAAAUUGACCCCAAUGCUUGACUGGUGCUUAUUUCAUCAAACCCCAAAAGAUGAAAGGCAGUGUGAACAUGAUGGAAUAUGAACUCAGAACAUAAAGACAGACAAAAUGUCAAGCAAUUUGCCAGUGUGCUUAACAAUUCUGCCAGCUUGCCACCUUAAUAAUAAUAAUAAUAAUAUAACAAUAAUAAUAGUUUCGAAUUUUGGCACAAGGCCUGCAAUUUCAGGAGAGAGAUAAGUCAAUUACAUCAACCUCAGUUCUCAAAUGGUACUUAUUUUAUCAAAACAGAAGGGAUGAAAGGAAAAGUUGACUUUGGUGGAAUUUGAAAGCAGAAUGUAAAGAUGGAUGAAAUGCUGCAAAGCAUUUUGCCUGGCAUGCUAAUGAUUCUGCCAGCUCACCACCUUUAGAACAACAACAAUAAUAAUAAUAAUAAUAAUAAUCCUUACUACUAAAGGCACAAGGCCUGAAAUUUAGCGGGAGGGAGUAAGUUGAUUACACUGACCCCAGUACUCAACUAGUACUUAAUUUAUUGACCUCCAAAAGGAAAAAAGGUAAAGCUGACCUCGGCAGAAUUUGAACUCGGAAUGUAAUGAUGGAUGAAAUGCCACUAAGCAUCUUGAACCAACCACUCGACAACAUCUUAGCAUAAUAACUAUUACUUUCUCCUACCUCAUGUUGUUAACACUUCCUUCUUCCUCUUUCUCUUUGUUUUAACCUUCAACUAAUCGUGUGACAGCAACGUAUUUCAGCCAUAGUGUUUUAAUAAUAAUAAUAAUAAUAAAGGUUUGAAAUUUUGGCACCUCCUCAGAAGGGAGGUGGAAGUUGAUUACAUCAACCCCAGUACUUGAUUGGUGAUUAUUUUAUUGACCCUGAAAGGAUGGAAGGCAAAGUAUAACUUAGGCACAAGGCUAGCAAUUUUGAAGGGAGCAAGCUGGUCGAUACUACCAACAUCAGUUCUUGAUUGGUAAUUUAUUUUAUUGACAUUUGAGGGGUAAAAAUCAAAGUCAACCCCAGUGGGAAUUGAAUCUCAGAAGGUUAAAAAAAAGCAGAACAAAUACUGCAACUCUAGCACUAUCAACUCUGCCAGCCUGCUUGCUACCUUUAAAUAAUAUUGGCAUUUGACUUAGCCACAAAGCCAGCAAUUUUGAGGAGAGUGGGGGAAUUGUCAAUGCUAUGGACAACAAUACUUGCCCUUGGCAGAAGCUGAAUUCAGAAGAUAAAGAAUUGGAAGAAAUAUCACAAUGCACUUUUUUCCGAUGCUCUACCAGCUAUGCAACAAUAAGGGAGUGGGUGGAGUUGAUUAAAUCAGUCCCCAAUAUUUGACUGGUACUUAUUUUCUUGAGCUUGCAAGCAAAAAAGGCAAAAAUGAUCUUGGCUAGAUUUGAAUAAUAAUAAUAAUAAUAAUAAUAAUAAUGAUGAUGAUGAUAAUAAUAAUAAAAAUGAAAAUAAUAAUAAUGAUGAUGGUGAUGAUUAUAAUAAUAAUAAUAUUUUCUACUAAAGGCACAAGGCCUGAGAUUUUGGCGGAAGGAACUAGUUGAUUAUAUUGACCCCAGUAUUCAACUGGUACUUAUUUUAUUGAUCCCAAAAGGAUGGAAAAUUUAAGUCAAACUCAGCAGAAUUUGAAAAUAAUAAUAAUAAUAAUGAUAAUAAUAAUAAUAAUAACAAUAAUCCUUUCUACUAAAGGCACAAGGCCAGAAAUUUAGGGGUGGAGAGGGGACUAGUUGAUUACACUGGUACUUAGUUUCAUCCUGAAAGGAUGAAGAACAAAGUUGACCUCGGCAGAAUUUGAACUCAGAACCCUAAAGACAGAUGAAAUGCCACUAUGCAUUUCACCUGGCCUGCUAACUAUUCUGCUAGCCCACUGCCUUAAUAAUAAUAAUAAUAAUAAUAAUAAUUUUUUUUUCUUUCUCCUCUAGGCACAGGACUCGGAAUUUUGAGGGAGGAGGCCAGUCAAUUAGAUCGACCCCAGUACGCAUUUGGUACUUAUUUAAUCGACCCUGAAAGGAUGAAAGGCAAAGUCGACCUCGGCGGAAUUUGAGCUCAGAACGUAGCAGCAGGCGAAAUACCACUGAGCCUUUUGCCCGGUUUGCUAAUGUUCCUGCCAGCUCGC